AAAAAAAAAAUAAGAUGGCGCGCCAUAGAUUCGAAACGUAAAUGUACUGGUCAAAAGAAAUACACGAAAAUGUGAUGAUACAUAAUUUGUGAUUAUGAGAAUAUUGAAAAUCUACCAUUAGCUACAUCAGAAGCUUCGAUAUCCACAUAUGCUCCAAAAGAGUCUUUUGAAGGUUUAGGAUGUAAACAAAAGCGAAGACAUGAUCAGUAAAUCAAUUUAAAUUUCCCCAAAUAAGUUCCUUUCUUUGUUUGUAACAAAGGAAGUAACUUGUUUAAAAAGAAUUUGAAACGGAGAUUUGCCAAAAAUAAUGAAGUAUUUAUUCAAUCAUCCAGAACUCUAGUUCUUUAUCUAUAAAGUCCUUGACUUUAUCUAGUUCUGGAUGAUCCAGGGCCUGGAUAUCACUGCAAAUAUGAUAUAAUAUUAUAUAAUAUGAUGGAUACAGCUGUUCGAUGGUGGAUCGGAAGCUAGUGUAUGGAAAACUAAUAAUAUAAGUGUUUUUACCGGUGAAUAUUUGGUAGUUUUUACUGUGAUUUAGGCACAUCAUCCAGAACUAUUCCAGGCAAAUAAGAUGUUUCCAUCAAAUUUCAAGCAUUACUAAACUUGACGGUAUCAAGACAUUUGGAUGUACAUGGUUCUGACUUAUUUAAAUAUACAAACGAAGCUCAUUCAACAGUGGCAGAAUAAAAGGCGAAAACUUAAGUCAUCAAAAUUAAAAUGGCUUGAAGUGAAUCAUCAGUUAUUAGUGACAAUGUUUGACGGGAAUAUAACACCAUGGAUUGUCAUAAGUCUGUGAUAUCUGCAAGGGUAAGAUAUCAGAGAUGAAUCAUCUGGAAUUAUUUGAAAAUAGAGAAAUCAAUGAAAAAAAAUACUGUGGAUUUAUUAUCUCUACAUGCUUGGAUCAGACAUAUGAAAUUAUGAAUUAUUUACUUCUCAUUCUUAUCGUUUUGGAGUUCAAAUAACGGUGUGCCAGUGUGACUACACUUAAUAAGUUUGAGGAAGUCCUUAAUACAGGAAGCUUUCAAAAAGCAGUGCAGUUCAGUUUCAUGAAGUUAUAAUAAUAUUAUAAUUCAGUUAAUGAAGUAUUAAUUUCCGAACUGGAGGAGCAGGCACUACUAAUGAUGGAAAAACAGCUGAAUUUUUAGAGAUGUAGAGGGUACAGCCGACUUCACUGGUCUCGAUAAAGAAUUAAUAGAAAGAUUUCACAUCAUACUUCAAAC